UGGCUCAGGACGAACGCUGGCGGCGUGCUUACACAUGCAAGUCGAACGAGAUCGAGGCUGGCCUCAAUGAUCUAGUGGCGAACGGGUGCGUAACACGUGAGAAACCUGCCCUGAAGAGGAAUAACCCAAGGAAACUCGGGCUAAUACCGAAUGCCUUCCCACCACCGCAUGGUGGGGAAGAAAUGCUCCGGCGCUUUGGGAGGGUCUCGCGGCCUAUCAGCUUGUUGGUGAGGAUGGCUCACCAAGGCAUCGACGGGUAGCUGGUCUGAGGGGACGAUCAGCCACACUGGGUGAGACACGGCCCAGACUCCUACGGGAGGCAGCAGUGGGGAAUCUUGCGCAAUGGGCGAGCCUGACGCAGCAACGCCGCGUGAGGGAAGACGGCUCUCGGGUUGUAAACCUCUUUCCAGGGACGAAAUUGACGGUACCUGCAGAAGAAGCGCCGGCCAACUACGUGCCAGCAGCCGGUAACACGUAGGGCGCAAGCGUUGUCCGGAUUUAUUGGGCGUAAAGGGCUCGUAGGGUUUCGUAAGUCGGGUGUGAAAACUCAGGGCUCAACCCUGAGACGCCACUCGAUACUGAUGACUUGAGUCCGGUAGGGGAGCAGGGAAUUCCUGGUGUAGCGGUGAAAUGCGCAGAUCAGGAGGAACACCAUUAGCGAAGGCGCUGCUCUGGGCCGGUACUGACGCUGAGGAGCAAGCAUGGGGAGCAAACAGGAUUAGAUACCCUGGUAGUCCAUGCCGUAAACGUUGGGCUAGGUGUGGGUCUCAUCCAACGAGAUCCGCGCCGUAGCUAACGCAUUAAGUGCCCCGCGGGGAGUACGGCCGCCAGGCUAAAACUCAAAGGAAUUGACGGGGGCCCGCACAAGCGGGAGCAUGUUGCUUAAUUCGAGGCAACGCGAAGAACCUUACCUGGGCUCGACAUGUAGUAAAGCCAUAGAGAUAUGGUGUCCUUUUGGGCGCUACACAGGUGGUGCAUGGCUGUCGUGCUCGUGUCGUGAGAUGUUGGGUUAAGUCCCGCAACGAGCGCAACCCUUAUCCUAUGUCCAGCGCGUAAUGGCGGGGACUCAUGGGAGACUGCCGGGGUCAACUCGGAGGAAGGUGGACGACGUCAAGUCAUCAUGCCCCUUAUGUCCAGGGCUGCAAACAUGCUACAAUGGCUUACAAAGGGCAGCGAAACCGUGAGGUUAAGCGAAUCCCAUAAAGCCAGUCUCAGUUCGUUGAAGUCUGCAACUCGACUUCAUGAAGCUGGAGUCGCUAGUAAUCCCGGAUCAGCAACCGGGGUGAAUACGUUCCCGGGCCUUGUACACACCGCCCGUCACACCACGAAAGUCGGACACCCGAAGUCAGUGGCCCAACCCUUCGGGGAGGGAGCUGCCGAAGGUGGGAUCGGUUUGGGGUGAAGUC
rnacentral:rRNA from 1 species